rnacentral:lncRNA from 1 species
UGCUGGCUGAGAGGCUUGGUUAGUGGGUUUGCUAUAUUCAGUACAGAGUCGACUCUCUGCACCUCGACGAACUUCUUCUCGAGAUAUUCAUAUAUGAUGUGAAACCACCACUCUAUAUAUUUGAACUUCUGAUGAGACCUGAGCUCCUUAGCGAGAGCUAUGGUGCCAUUGUUAUUGCAGUGCAGUGCAAUGGCAUUUGAUGGCAUCAUAUCCAGCUC